rnacentral:lncRNA from 1 species
GUCUGAAUCAAACCUUCGUGUAGUCGCCUGUCAGGGCAUUUAUUUCCAUAAAUUAAAAUUUUUAGUUACAAUUAAAAUUUCGUGAUAUAUUUCCAACUAAAUUGUAACUAAAGUUGUAACUAACUAGCCAAGAUAAACAAAAUCUAAUUUUGAGCGCAGACCCGCGAUAUUGUGGCUAUCAUGCAGGGCUUUAAUUUAUUUUUCCAAUGAACGAGCAGGUAAAGGGUAUGGAAGCCUCCUUGUGUUCCAGCGCACGGAUGCACUCCUUGAGGACCAACAGGAACUUUAUGAUCAGCGCCGCAUCCCGGCAGGUCUGGCUGUCCGUACUGAAGUUAUCCGCUGCCGGCCAGAUCAUUCAGCUAGAAUUUGGCAAAGGCUUGGUUGGAGUUGGCGCUGCGCAGGACAAUCUGGAAGAUGGCAUGUUUUAGUAGCCUUUGCCUUGCGGCAGGGGCGCUUCGAGUCUCCUCCAGUGGUCUUCCCAGUCUACCAGUAGUGGCCUUCCCCUGCGAUGCGUUGCGCUUUAAGACUCCUCCAGUGGCCUCUCCAGCGGGCUUUCCCUUGCGGGAGAGACGAUUGACGCCUCCUGCAGUGGUAUUCUUCUUCGAGCAGAGGCGCUUGGGGAGCCGGCGAACAUUACCGGUAGAUUUGUCUGCGGUCUUUCCCUCAUUGCCCUUGCUGAGAGCAGUGACUUGAGUUUGUUCUGUUUCAAUGGCUCAAUUCCUCACAGUAGGAAUAUUUUGCCUCACAGCAAAACAAUUUGGAAUAUUAAAUGCUGUGUUAACUAAAGAAACGAAUGUAAACUGAAUAAAAAUAAUGAAUUUAAAACGAGGAAGCGAC